rnacentral:rRNA from 1 species
UUAACCCUACGGGAGGCAGCAGUGGGGAAUAUUGCACAAUGGGGGGAACCCUGAUGCAGCGACGCCGCGUGGGUGAAGGAGCACCUCGGUGCGUAAAGCCCUAUCGGCAGGGAAGAAAAGCGAACAGGUUCGCCUGGACGGUACCUGACUAAGAAGCCCCGGCUAACUACGUGCCAGCAGCCGCGGUAAUACGUAGGGGGCAAGCGUUAUCCGGAUUCACUGGGGGUAAAGGGAGCGUAGACGGCGACGCAAGUCUGGAGUGAAAACCCGGGGCCCAACCCCGGGACUGCUCUGGAAACUGGGUC